GAUGAACGCUGGCGGCGUGCCUAAUACAUGCAAGUCGAGCGAACAGACGAGGAGCUUGCUCCUCUGACGUUAGCGGCGGACGGGUGAGUAACACGUGGAUAACCUACCUAUAAGACUGGGAUAACUUCGGGAAACCGGAGCUAAUACCGGAUAAUAUAUUGAACCGCAUGGUUCAAUAGUGAAAGACGGUUUUGCUGUCACUUAUAGAUGGAUCCGCGCCGCAUUAGCUAGUUGGUAAGGUAACGGCUUACCAAGGCGACGAUGCGUAGCCGACCUGAGAGGGUGAUCGGCCACACUGGAACUGGAACACGGUCCAGACUCCUACGGGAGGCAGCAGUAGGGAAUCUUCCGCAAUGGGCGAAAGCCUGACGGAGCAACGCCGCGUGAGUGAUGAAGGUCUUCGGAUCGUAAAACUCUGUUAUUAGGGAAGAACAAAUGUGUAAGUAACUAUGCACGUCUUGACGGUACCUAAUCAGAAAGCCACGGCUAACUACGUG
rnacentral:rRNA from 1 species